rnacentral:rRNA from 1 species
CGGCACGCCUAACACAUGCAAGUCGAACGAAGUAGCAAUACUUAGUGGCAGACGGGUGAGUAACAUGUAGGUAUCUGCCCUUUGGCCUGGAAUAACACGAGGAAACUUGUGCUAAUACCGGAUAAGUCUUUACAGAGAAAGCUUUAUGCACCAUUGGAUGAGCCUGCACUUGAUUAGUUUGUUGGUGGGGUAAUGGCCUACCAAGACUGUGAUCAAUAGCUGAUUUGAGAGGAUGAUCAGCCACAUUGGGACUGAGACACGGCCCAAACUCCUACGGGAGGCAGCAGUGGGGAAUCUUGCACAAUGGAGGAAACUCUGAUGCAGCGAUGCCGCGUGAGUGAAGAAGGCCUUUGGGUUGUAAAGCUCUUUCGUCGGGGAAGAAAAUGACUGUACCCGAAUAAGAAGGUCCGGCUAACUUCGUGCCAGCAGCCGCGGUAAUACGAAGGGACCUAGCGUAGUUCGGAAUUACUGGGCUUAAAGAGUUCGUAGGUGGUUGAAAAAGUUGGUGGUGAAAUCCCAGAGCUUAACUCUGGAACUGCCAUCAAAACUUUUCAGCUAGAGUAUGAUAGAGGAAAGCAGAAUUUCUAGUGUAGAGGUGAAAUUCGUAGAUAUUAGAAAGAAUACCAAUUGCGAAGGCAGCUUUCUGGAUCAUUACUGACACUGAGGAACGAAAGCAUGGGUAGCGAAGAGGAUUAGAUACCCUCGUAGUCCAUGCCGUAAACGAUGUGUGUUAGACGUUGGAAAUUUAUUUUCAGUGUCGCAGCGAAAGCGAUAAACACACCGCCUGGGGAGUACG